UACGGAGGGGACUAGCGUUGUUCGGAAUUACUGGGCGUAAAGCGCACGUAGGCGGAUUUGUAAGUCAGGGGUGAAAUCCCGGGGCUCAACCUCGGAACUGCCUUUGAUACUGCAAAUCUCGAGUCCGGAAGAGGUGAGUGGAAUUCCUAGUGUAGAGGUGAAAUUCGUAGAUAUUAGGAAGAACACCAGUGGCGAAGGCGGCUCACUGGUCCGGUACUGACGCUGAGGCGCGAAAGCCAGGGGAGCAA
rnacentral:rRNA from 1 species